GGGGACCCGCACAAGCAGCGGAGCGUGUGGUUUAAUUCGUUGCUACACGAAGAACUUACCUGGGUUUGACAUAUAGGUUGUAGGGAACUGAAAAGGGACCGACCCUUCGGGGAGCCUAUACAGGUGUUGCAUGGCUGUCGUCAGCUCGUGUCGUGAGAUGUUCGGUUAAGUCCGCUAACGAGCGCAACCCUCGUCGUAUGUUAUAUGUGUCAUACGAGACUGCCGGUAAAAAGCCGGAGGAAGGUGAGGAUGAUGUCAAGUCAGCAUGACCUUUAUAUCCAGGGCUACACACACGCUACAAUGGUCUGUACAAUGGGUAGCCAAGCCGCGAGGCGGAGCCAAUCCUGAAAGCAGGCCUCAGUUCAGAUUGCAGUCUGCAACUCGACUGCAUGAAGCCGGAGUUGCUAGUAACCGCAGGUCAGCAAUACUGCGGUGAAUACGUUCCCGGGUCUU
rnacentral:rRNA from 1 species